GUAUGUGGAUGAUGAGAUGACAUGUAAAAAUACAGUUAUCCCUGUCUUACUUCCUUGGAUGGGUGCUGUGAAUACUUCGACUGGACCCUUGC
rnacentral:snoRNA from 2 species